rnacentral:rRNA from 1 species
GACGAACGCUGGCGGCGUGCUUAACACAUGCAAGUCGAACGGAAAGGCCCUGCUUUUGUGGGGUGCUCGAGUGGCGAACGGGUGAGUAACACGUGAGUAACCUGCCCUUGACUUUGGGAUAACUUCAGGAAACUGGGGCUAAUACCGGAUAGGAGCUCCUGCUGCAUGGUGGGGGUUGGAAAGUUUCGGCGGUUGGGGAUGGACUCGCGGCUUAUCAGCUUGUUGGUGGGGUAGUGGCUUACCAAGGCUUUGACGGGUAGCCGGCCUGAGAGGGUGACCGGCCAAAUUGGGACUGGGAUGCGGCCCAGACUCCUCCGGGAGGCAGCGGUGGGGAAGAUUGCACAAUGGGCGGAAGCCUGAUGCAGCAACGCCGCGUGCGGGAUGACGGCCUUCGGGUUGUAAACCGCUUUCGCCUGUGACGAAGCGUGAGUGACGGUAAUGGGUAAAGAAGCACCGGCUAACUACGUG